AUUUAAAUAACUUAAAGUUAGAGUGUAAUAUUGAAGAUAUUAAAGUGAUAGUUUUAUCUUUAAAUG
rnacentral:tRNA from 1 species